UAGCCAUGUUGUGGACAUAAAUUUAUGAGAUCCUUAAAUCCCUCCCAAUAUUGGAAGAAGGUCUUAUCCUCCUUUUAUACAAAAUUCAUGGUUGCUUUCUUUAAGGUA